ACAUUUCUGCAAAAUACAAGAGGAACCCUAGUCGCUUCUUUUCACUUUUUCUCUUCAUCUUUUGCAAAUUAUCCAAUAACACUCAAACUCCAAAAGAAUUAAAAUAUCUACUAAAAAUUAGUCAAACCCCAUAUUAUCUUCUUUCGACCAGGAAGAUUUCACCCGUAAUAGUUUCCUUGUCAUUUCACUUCAUUUCAAUCUCAGUAGCAAUGUUUUCAUUUUGACAUGAUUCAGAUUAGAUAAACCAAAAUACACCCGAUAACAGCAUUGCAUCAUUCGAAUUUAAACACUUAAUACACAAAUACAGCUUUCAACGAUCAAAUAGGACCGAACAUUGAAACCAAUACACAUACUUACAUUUCUGAAAAGAGAGUCCAAUAAAAUCUUAGCAUCAGGAGUUGCUAUAUUGGUGCG
rnacentral:lncRNA from 1 species